rnacentral:rRNA from 1 species
UACGUAGGGCGCAAGCGUUGUCCGGAAUUAUUGGGCGUAAAGAGCUCGUAGGUGGCUUGUCACGUCGGGUGUGAAAGCUUGGGGCUUAACUCCAGGUCUGCAUUCGAUACGGGCUGGCUAGAGGUAGGUAGGGGAGAACGGAAUUCCUGGUGUAGCGGUGAAAUGCGCAGAUAUCAGGAGGAACACCGGUGGCGAAGGCGGUUCUCUGGGCAGUGACUGACGCUGAGACGCGAAAGCGUGGGGAGCAAACAGG